rnacentral:miRNA from 1 species
UUGCUGUGCUGACACUCGUGCUGCUGAC